rnacentral:rRNA from 1 species
AAGAAACCAACAGGGAUUGCCUCAGUAACGGCGAGUGAAGCGGCAAAAGCUCAAAUUUGAAAUCUAGCACCUUCGGUGUUCGAGUUGUAAUUUGAAGAUGGUAACCUUGGGUUUGGCUCUUGUCUAUGUUCCUUGGAACAGGACGUCAUAGAGGGUGAGAAUCCCGUCUGAUGAGAUGCCCAUUCCUAUGUAAGGUGCUAUCGAAGAGUCGAGUUGUUUGGGAAUGCAGCUCUAAGUGGGUGGUAAAUUCCAUCUAAAGCUAAAUAUUGGCGAGAGACCGAUAGCGAACAAGUACAGUGAUGGAAAGAUGAAAAGAACUUUGAAAAGAGAGUGAAAAAGUACGUGAAAUUGUUGAAAGGGAAGGGCAUUAGAUCAGACUUGGUGUUUUACGAUUAUCUUCUCUUCUUGAGUUGUGCACUCGUAUUUCACUGGGCCAGCAUCGAUUCGGAUGGCAAGAUAAUGGCAGUUGAAUGUGGCUUCACUUCGGUGGAGUGUUAUAGCUUCUGCUGAUAUUGCCUGUCUGGAUCGAGGGCUGCGUCUUUUGACUAGGAUGCUGGCGUAAUGAUCUA